rnacentral:rRNA from 1 species
GAUAAAGACGGGACAGAGGCCGAGGGAAUACGUAGGGGGGGAGGGUUGUCCGGAUUUACUGGGUGUAAAGGGGUAUCAGGUGGAUUUGUAAGGCAGAGGUGAAAUCCCAAAGCUCAACUUUGGUGCGGCCUUUGAUACUGCAAGUCUUGAGUUUGGAAGAGGGUAAUGGAAUAUCUGGUGUAGCAGUGAAAUGCGUAGAUAUCAGAUAGAACACCAAUGGCGAAGGCAGUUACCUGGUCCAAAACUGACACUAAAGCACGAAAGUGUGGGGAGCAAACAGGAUUAGAUACCCCUGUAGUC